rnacentral:lncRNA from 1 species
CUAGUCCCUUGAAAUAUGCUUCCUCUCAGGAUAUCUUUUAGUAAAGUGAAGUAUGUUCUGAGAGCUGAUUAAGAGUCUUUCAAAAUGCUCCCCUUUACAAAGUCUGUGACUCCUCUGCUGGGCCCGGGAUAAGAGAGGAAAGCUCUGCUCACAUGUUUCUAGCUCCUGACUCUGAGGGACUGGGAAAUAGGACAGUAUGAAGGAUGCCAUGGGAGCAAGGAGCAUACUUGAACCCCCAGCAGCUAGCACAGUACCCAGCAUAUAGUAAGCUCCUGGUAAGUGUUUGUUGAUUGAGAAAAUGAGCCAAGAAGCCUGCAAGUUUUGCCUAUGGAGAGCCUAGCAAAAUUGUUAUUUAUGGCUGGUGAACAAAGCAAUGUCUGGAACUCUCCCUUAAAAGGACUGGUUGCAGAAUUUUAACUUGUAUGAUUUAUUUUUUUCACUUUAAAAAAAAUAAUGAAAUAGAACAUAGAAAAAGAAAAGUGCACAAAACAUAUGUGGAUGAUUUAAUUAAUACAGAUAAAGCAAACACUCUUGUAACCACCAGCCGAGUGAAGAAACAGAAUAUUAUCACCACUGCAAAAGCCCCCUGUGCCUCUUCCUCCGGAGCUGAGUCAUUAUUAUUUAGCCUAAUCAUUUCCCUGCUUUUCUUUAUAGUCUUACAACCCAUGUAUUUAAAACCUAAAAAAUAUGGUUGUGUUUUGCCUGUUUUUGAAUGAAUGGAAGUACAUCGAUGUAUUCUUUUGCGUUUUCAUUCUUUUGCUCAGUGUGACGUUUGAGAGAAUCUGCCGUGUUUUCACAGCUGUAGUUUGGUCAUUUUGUUGCUGCGUUGUAUGAACCACACUUUAUUCAUACAUCCUCUCGUUAAUGGACGUUUGGAUUUUGUUCCGGUCUUUGGCAGCCCACCUGGGUUUUCUAGCCAACUUUGAGCUCUCACUUCUGGUUGACACUUGCUGAAGCCCUCUUG